GGAUGCGUUCCAUUAGUUUGUUGGGGGGGUAACGGGCCCACCAAGACUACGAUGGAUAGGGGUUCUGAGAGGAAGGUCCCCCACAUUGGAACUGAGACACGGUCCAAACUCCUACGGGAGGCAGCAGUGAGGAAUAUUGGUCAAUGGACGCGAGUCUGAACCAGCCAAGUAGCGUGAAGGAUGACUGCCCUAUGGGUUGUAAACUUCUUUUAUAUGGGAAUAAAGUUGUCCACGUGUGGAUUUUUGUAUGUACCAUAUGAAUAAGGAUCGGCUAACUCCGUGCCAGCAGCCGCGGUAAUACGGAGGAUCCGAGCGUUAUCCGGAUUUAUUGGGUUUAAAGGGAGCGUAGGCGGAUUGUUAAGUCAGUUGUGGAAGUUUGCGGCUCAACCGUAAAAUUGCAGUUGAUACUGGCAGUCUUGAGUGCAGUAGAGGUGGGCGGAAUUCGUGGUGUAGCGGUGAAAUGCUUAGAUAUCACGAAGAACUCCGAUUGCGAAGGCAGCUCACUGGAGUGUAACUGACGCUGAUGCUCGAAAGUGUGGGUAUCAAACAGGAUUAGAUACCCUGGUAGUCCACACAGUAAACGAUGAAUACUCGCUGUUUGCGAUAUACAGUAAGCGGCCAAGCGAAAGCAUUAAGUAUUCCACCUGGGGAGUA
rnacentral:rRNA from 1 species